UGGGGAAUUUUGGACAAUGGGCGAAAGCCUGAUCCAGCAAUGCCGCGUGUGUGAAGAAGGCCUUCGGGUUGUAAAGCACUUUUGUCCGGAAAGAAAUCCUUGGCUCUAAUACAGUCGGGGGAUGACGGUACCGGAAGAAUAAGCACCGGCUAACUACGUGCCAGCAGCCGCGGUAAUACGUAGGGUGCAAGCGUUAAUCGGAAUUACUGGGCGUAAAGCGUGCGCAGGCGGUUUGCUAAGACCGAUGUGAAAUCCCCGGGUCUCAACCUGGGAACUGCAUUGGUGACUGGCAGGCUAGAGUAUGGCAGAGGGGGGUAGAAUUCCACGUGUAGCAGUGAAAUGCGUAGAGAUGUGGAGGAAUACCGAUGGCGAAGGCAGCCCCCUGGGCCAAUACUGACGCUCAUGCACGAAAGCGUGGGGAGCAAACAGGAUUAGAUACCCUGGUAGUCCAGCGCCCUAAACGAUGUCAACUAGUUGUUGGGGAUUCAUUUCCUAGUAACGUAGCUAACGCGUGAAGUUGACCGCCUGGGGAGUACGGUCGCAAGAUUAAAACU
rnacentral:rRNA from 1 species